GAUGAACGCUGGCGGCGUGCCUAAUACAUGCAAGUCGAGCGAACAGACGAGGAGCUUGCUCCUCUGACGUUAGCGGCGGACGGGUGAGUAACACGUGGAUAACCUACCUAUAAGACUGGGAUAACUUCGGGAAACCGGAGCUAAUACCGGAUAAUAUAUUGAACCGCAUGGUUCAAUAGUGAAAGACGGCUUUGCUGUCACGUAUAGAUGGAUCCGCGCCGCAUUAGCUAGUUGGUAAGGUAACGGCUUACCAAGGCAACGAUGCGUAGCCGACCUGAGAGGGUGAUCGGCCACACUGGAACUGAGCCACGGUCCAGACUCCUACGGGAGGCAGCAGUAGGGAAUCUUCCGCAAUGGGCGAAAGCCUGACGGAGCAGCGCCGCGUGAGUGAUGAAGGUCUUCGGAUCGUAAAACUCUGUUAUUAGGGAAGAACAGAUGUGUAAGUAACUAUGCACGUCUUGACGGUACCUAAUCAGAAAGCCACGGCUAACUACGUG
rnacentral:rRNA from 1 species